UCUUGGAUAGCACAGCCAGAGGACGAUCUUCUCAUUUUAGACAUAAGGACCUUGAGCCAAAGCAGGUCAGGGACUGACUAUGGGCCACAAGGAGGCUGUUCUAAGCAGAGAUCACUGCUCCGAGCUCUCAUUCCUCAAGCUGAGGAGAUGGACUUCUUACACAGGGGCUCACGGCUCCCAAGAAUGAGCACGUCAAGAAGUAAGAAGCAGGAGCUGCCCUUCUUCUAAAAUGCUGGGCCUGCAGCCAACACUGCAUUCUACUCUCUGCGUGCUAUAGUUUAAUACGAUCUCACGCCAGCCCAGAUUCACCGUGGAAGGGACCACAGCAAAGGCUACUAGUCUCUUGAUGCUCCGCAACAAGAGAAGCCACCGCAGCGAGAAGCCCGCUCACAGCAACGAAAAGUCGCCCCCGCUCGCUGCAACUAGAGAAAGCCCCCGCGCAGCAACGAAGACCCAA